CGGUGCCCACGCGGCGUGCGGCUCCCACCCACGCAACACGCCCGCCGCUCCCAGGGUCCUCCGGACCACCGAGCCCUCUUCCUAGAGCAGCCCGGGAGGAGACCCCCCCGCCCGACUCCUCGCUUCCUCCCGUGCCAAUUUAACCGGCACCCGGAAGUGCAGACGGCCCCGCAGUUUGUAGAGUCGUGUUUAGGGCUCCUGUCGUUACUGUUCCAUUCACGCCACAAACGAUGCUUGGACUCCUGGUCUUUGGCAGGGAGAUGAAGGAGGCCCAGUCCCUGUCCACAUCAAGGACGGCAGGACGGGGGGAUACGCUCUGUACCGCGGGGACCGGAUCGAAGGAAGCUGUCCCGGAGCGGUAACGGCCCGGGGCUGGCGGUCGCCUGCCCUGUAGGCGCUCCGGUGUUUGCCGCGUGAGUGCAGAGCAUUCCGACUGGAAGCAAGGGGGUUGCCCGGAAGGCGUCGGGCCGUGCAGGACUGGAGGGUGCCUGGAGGUGAAGUUGGGAAGGUUUUAAAUUAACCCACGUUGUUCCUCCCUGGUUCAUCCUGCUGCUUAAGACUCCCUAUAUCAAAGUCAUUUCAACUGUUCGAACUAAGUAGGAAAGACGUCUCUUCCCUAACUCACAAGACGAUUAUGGGAAUUUAAAAAAAAAAAAAAUUAAAGGGACUCUGCAAACGUGAAAGGUUUUUGGAUGAUAAUCCCUUGCAUUUGCACUGCCCGCUUUACUACUGUUUAUUUCGUGUCUAUUCCACAAAUACUUACUGGACAUUGAUCUUGUGUCAGGCGCUGGGGAUGCAAAGAUAAACAAGACCCAGGCUCUGCCCUCAUGGAACUUAAAUUGUGAUGUGCACUGGAGCAGUGUGGGUCAAGGUGAAAAGAAUCGGAAAGUCGCUACCUACCCAGUCCUUUCACUGCACAGCUCAGGUGCCAGAAGAGUGAACAUUUACCUUUCCCAUCUUUUGACUACUCCUGCCCCUGACCCACAGCAGAUCUUCCCCCUUGGACACACGCAGAGGAAGCCUUUACUUAAGUAUUAAAAGACUGGGCCCUCUCUGCAACUAACGGGGUAACAGCUUCUCUUUAAAUUCCCAUUUAAAGAUCUAUAUAGUAUCCCCUAUUCGUAUGUACCCCAGUCCCUGCGUGUAUGGCUAACAGGUCCUGUUGUCAAUCCUCUUGUAAAUCAGCGGAGGCCCCAAACCCCUUGG